GCGGGAAUAGCUCAGUUGGUAGAGCACGACCUUGCCAAGGUCGGGGUCGCGAGUUCGAGUCUCGUUUCCCGNCGAGUCUCGUUUCCCGCUCCA
rnacentral:tRNA from 1 species